rnacentral:sRNA from 1 species
AUUCUGCCCAUGCGGGGAAGGAUGAGAAGCUUCGACCAAGGUUCGACUUGAGCGCCAGCGAGAGAGCGUUGCCGCAGGCAACGACCCGAAGGGCGAAGCGCGCAAGCGCUGAGUAAUCCUUCCCCCACCACCA